CCUACGGGAGGCAGCAGUGAGGAAUAUUGGUCAAUGGGCGCGAGCCUGAACCAGCCAAGUAGCGUGAAGGAUGACUGCCCUACGGGUUGUAAACUUCUUUUAUAAAGGAAUAAAGUGAGGCACGUGUGCCUUUUUGUAUGUACUUUAUGAAUAGGGAUGGGCAAACCCGUGCCCGCAGCCGGGGUUAUAAGGAGGAUUCGAGGGUUUUCCGGGUUUUAUGGGGUUAAAGGGAGCGUAGAUGGGUUGUUAAGUCCGUUGUGAAAGUUUGCGGGUCAACCGUAAAAUUGCAAUUGAUACUGGCAGUCUUGAGUACAGUUGAGGUAGGCGGAAUUCGUGGUGUAGCGGUGAAAUGCUUAGAUAUCACGAAGAACUCCGAUUGCGAAGGCAGCUUACUAAGCUGCCACUGACAUUGAUGCUCGAAAGUGUGGGUAUCAAACAGGAUUAGAUACCCCUGUAGUC
rnacentral:rRNA from 1 species